GAUGAACGCUGGCGGCGUGCUUAACACAUGCAAGUCGAACGGAAAGGCCCAAGCUUGCUUGGGUACUCGAGUGGCGAACGGGUGAGUAACACGUGGGUGAUCUGCCCUGCACUUCGGGAUAAGCCUGGGAAACUGGGUCUAAUACCGGAUAGGACGAUGGUUUGGAUGCCAUUGUGGAAAGUUUUUUCGGUGUGGGAUGAGCUCGCGGCCUAUCAGCUUGUUGGUGGGGUAAUGGCCUACCAAGGCGUCGACGGGUAGCCGGCCUGAGAGGGUGUACGGCCACAUUGGGACUGAGAUACGGCCCAGGCUCCUACGGGAGGCAGCAGUGGGGAAUAUUGCACAAUGGGCGCAAGCCUGAUGCAGCGACGCCGCGUGGGGGAUGACGGCCUUCGGGUUGUAAACUCCUUUCGCUAGGGACGAAGCGUUUUUGUGACGGUACCUGGAGAAGAAGCACCGGCUAACUACGUG
rnacentral:rRNA from 1 species